GAAGUCGUUACUUCAACCCUUGUGGAGGAGGACGCCGAAGGUGGGGCUAAUGACUGGGGUGAAGUCGUAACAAGGUAGCCGUACCGGAAGGUGCGGCUGGAUCACCUCCUAACAGGGAGACAACAAAAUGUAAAUAUUAAUUUUGUCACCUUAGGUCGAUCGGUAUCUCAGAUUCUUAUUAUUUAAGAAUUUCAGUUUCUAAGUUUUUCUAGGUCACACCUAUCACUUUUUCCUGGGCCAUUAGCUCAGGUGGUUAGAGCGCACCCCUGAUAAGGGUGAGGUCCCUGGUUCAAGUCCAGGAUGGCCCAUAUCUCUAUGUUGGGGGUAUAGCUCAGUUGGUAGAGCGCCUGCUUUGCAAGCAGGAUGUCAGCGGUUCGAGUCCGCUUACCUCCACUGAAUACCACCUCUUACAUAUAGUUGAAGUGGGAAAUUGUUUUGAGUCGUGUCCUAAUUUGCUCUGAGCGAAUCUAGCUUCCUAUUUUAUCCAAGAAAUAAGAUGCUGGACUCAUUGAAUUUUUUUUCAUUGUUUUCAGAGAACCUUGACAACUGCAUAGAUUAUUUUUGAAGACAAUAAGCAUCUUUAAUGAUGCAGAUUUAUUAUUUGUGCGAAUGCAUUAAAUAACAAUUCUAUUAAGCUGAUGCUUCAAUUAUUGAAGUUAUUGGUCAAGCUACAAAGGGCUCACGGAGGAUACCUAGGCACACAGAGGCGAUGAA
rnacentral:misc_RNA from 1 species